rnacentral:lncRNA from 1 species
AUGGGCCCCAAGCGGCGGCAGCUGACGUUCCGGGAGAAGUCACGGAUCAUCCAGGAGGUAGAGGAGAACCCGGACCUGCGCAAGGGCGAGAUCGCGCGGCGCUUCAACAUCCCACCGUCCACGUUGAGCACCAUCCUGAAGAACAAGCGCGCCAUCCUGGCGUCGGAGCGCAAGUACGGUGUAGCCUCCACCUGUCGCAAGACCAACAAACUGUCCCCUUACGACAAGCUCGAGGGGCUGCUCAUCGCCUGGUUCCAGCAAAUCCGCGCCGCUGGCCUGCCGGUCAAGGGCAUCAUCCUCAAGGAGAAGGCGCUGCGUAUAGCCGAGGAGCUGGGCAUGGACGAUUUCACUGCCUCCAACGGCUGGCUGGACCGCUUCCGCCGGCGCCACGGGGUAGUGUCCUGCAGCGGGGUGGCCCGCGCCAGGUCGCGCAGCGCUGCCCCCCGGACCCCAGCGGCGCCCGCCAGCCCUCCCGCAGUGCCCUCGGAGGGCAGCGGUGGGGGUACCACGGGCUGGCGCGCUCGGGAGGAGCAGCCACCGUCGGUGGCCGAGGGCUACGCUUCCCAGGACGUGUUCAGCGCCACUGAGACCAGUCUGUGGUACGACUUCCUGCCCGACCAAGCGGCGGGGCUGUGUGGCAGUGAUGGACGGGCACGCAGGGCCACCCAGCGCCUGAGUGUCCUGCUGUGUGCCAACGCCGAUGGUAGUGAGAAGCUGCCCCCACUUGUGGCUGGCAAGUCGGCCAAACCCCGUGCAGGCCAAGCUGGCCUGCCCUGUGACUAUACCGCCAACUCUAAGGGUGGUGUCACCACCCAGGCUCUGGCCAAGUACCUGAAGGCCCUGGACACCCGCAUGGCUGCAGAAUCUCGCCGAGUCCUGCUGCUGGCUGGCCGCCUGGCUGCCCAGUCCCUGGAUACCUCGGGCCUGCGGCAUGUGCAGCUGGCCUUCUUCCCACCAGGCACCGUGCAGCCGCUGGAGCGUGGCGUGGUCCAACAGGUGAAGGGCCACUACCGCCAGGCUAUGCUGCUCAAGGCCAUGGCAGCGCUAGAGGGCCAGGAUCGCUCAGGCCUGCAGCUGGGCCUCAUGGAGGCCCUGCACUUCGUUGCUGCGGCUUGGCAGGCUGUGGAACCUUCGGACAUAGCUGCCUGCUUUCGUGAGGCUGGCUUUGGGGGUGGCCCUAAUGCUACCAUCACUACUGCCCUCAAGAGUGAGGGAGAGGAAGAGGAGGAGGAGGAGGAGGAAGAAGAGGAAGAGGAGGGUGAAGGGGAGGAGGAGGAGGAGGAAGAUGGUGAGGAGGAGGAGGAAGCGGGGGAAGGAGAGGAGCUUGGGGAGGAAGAGGAGGUAGAAGAGGAGGGUGAUGUUGAUGACAGUGAGGAAGAGGAAGAGGAAGAGGAGGAAGAGAGCUCCUCUGAGGGCUUGGAGGCUGAGGACUGGGCCCAGGGUGUAGUGGAGGCUGGUGGCAGCUUCGGAGGUUAUGGUGCCCAGGAGGAGGCCCAGUGCCCUACCCUCCAUUUCCUGGAAGGUGAGGAGGACUCUGAGUCAGACAGUGAGGAAGAAGAGGAAGAUGAUGAGGAUGAAGAUGAUGAAGAUGAUGAGGAGGAGGAUGAUGAGGUGCCUGUACCCAGCUUCGGGGAAGCCAUGGCUUACUUUGCUAUGGUCAAGAGAUUGGAGGUUCUCAAGAGGCCCUCCAGAGGAGUGAUAAUGGGCACUUCCCUUGUGGGCAGCUGCAGGCCCCAUGCCUCUCCUCCCUCUCUGGCAGGGCCCUAUCCUGGGCAGGGGGCCUGGGGCUGGGCCCAGAGUCCAGCCAUCCAGCUGCUCCUUUCCCAGUCUGAAUUCAAUAAAUCUGUCUGCCCCUCUUUUGUGGGAGUGGACGUUUUAACAGCCAAGGGUGCAUCCUUCAUGGUCUGGGCUUGCGUCUGUCUUGGGGACACUUCGUUUCCCUGUUCCGUUUGAUCCUUGCUCUGGUGGGACAAAUGUUGAGAGAGUGGCUAUAGCCCAGGCCCUGACCAGGGUGAGGGACAACAUCUGUAUUUAAAUGUUGCCUAAUCUGCCUGCCUCCUUAAGUGCAGGAGACUUAGAGUUGGGUUCAAUCCCUGGGUCGAGAAGAUCCCCUGGAAGAGGCAAUGGCACCCCACUCCAGUAUUCUUGCCAGGAGAAUCCCAUGGACAGGGGAGCCUGUCAUGCUGCAGUCCAUAGAGUCGCAAAGAGGCGGACAUGACUGAGUGAGCACAGGCUUGGGGGCAGGAGGGAUCUUCAAUGCACCAAUGCCUGGGGGUGGGUUUGAGGAAGCUGGGCCUUGCAGUACUUAGAAGCUUUGGGUCAGUUGGCUAGGAUAGAAGGGAGGGAGCCAACAGUCCCUGGAGGGCCAAGUUAAGCUAGGUGCCUGGGAACUAGGCUUAUCAAGGCCCAUAAGAAGAUCCUUGCAGGAGAGGGGCAGGAGGGCAGAAAGAAAAGAAUGUUGGGGGCAGCUCCUGUGGUCCAGGUUGGAGUUGCAGGGGUAUCCCUUGUAUGGUGCCUUAAGAGGGGAGUCGUCUACACCUUUCAGUGUUUGGCAUCUCCAGUCCUGGUGGCUAUCCUUGGAAACAGUGGCAGGGUAGAGGUGAAAUUGCUGGGGACACUUUGCACCCUGAAGAGGUUGAGGAUGUCAACCACUCCCUGUGUGGUACCCUCUAGAGGGCCCCCCAUCCACAGGUAAGACAGGCUGCUCUGCUGAUCCUACCUGCCUUUUCUCUUCUCACCCCUCCCAGGCCCUUCCUCACUGAGGCCCUCAGGCCCCAGUGGUUCCAGUGAGGGGAGGGCCUAAGCUUGAGCAGGCUGGCAGCUCUGGGCCCCAAACCGGUUUUCCCACCUUGCCUGAGGCUGGCACAUCACCCCUCUGUUUCCCUGCCCCCACCUCGUUGCAGUUCCUCCUCUCUCCACCCUGGAAUGUGGGGGGCGGGGGGCACUUAUCCACAUCAUCUUUUUAAACCAGAAGGUGGAGGGGGUGUUCCACACUUUCCCUUCCACACCUCUGGCACUCAGGGAUUCCUUCCAGGCCUUGAAGGCUUCAGAACUAAGUGAGAGCAAAAAGCACCUGGGAUUCUCAUCCCCACCCUGGCCCACGUCUAGUCCCCAUCUGAGGUCUGGAGGAUGAGAAAAAGAAGCCCAGUCUACCCCCUCGCCUGCUCUGGAGUAAAUGGGCGGGAGCAGUAGCCUUCUCCCUAGGUGCUACUGGCCCAUCCAAGUCCCUCACCUCAACACCAACAAGGCAAAUUCCUCCAUUUGUCUGCUGCCAACAAGAAUGCCUCUUGCUGGAACUGAGAUCAUGUCUUUAAUGAUAACACCAAUCAGCAUGAAUAGGGCUCUUCCUGUGUGCCAGGCUCUGUGCUAAACACUUUAAAUACUCACAAAGCUCCUGUGAGGGGACUUACUUCCCUGGUGGUCCAGUGGCUAAGAGCAGGUCUCUGGUCAGGGAACUAGAUCCUACAGGCUGCAACUAAGUUUCAUGCUGCAACUAAAGAUCCUGCUUGCCUCAAGGAAGAUAGAAGAUCCCCCCAGGCUGCAACUAAGACCCGACACGUCCAAAUAAAUAAAAUAUUCUUUAGAAAAGAAACCCGUAU